rnacentral:rRNA from 1 species
CAGUCGAGGGGCAGCAUGGUGUAGCAAUACACUGAUGGCGACCGGCAAACGGGUGCGGAACACGUACAGAACCUUCCUUCGAGCGGGGAAUAGCCCAGAGAAAUUUGGAUUAAUACCCCAUAGUAUAACGGAGUGGCAUCACUUUGUUAUUAAAGAUUUAUCACUUGAAGAUGGCUGUGCGGCUGAUUAGGUAGUUGGCGGGGUAACGGCCCACCAAGCCUGCGAUCAGUAACUGGUGUGAGGGCACGACCAGUCACACGGGCACUGAGGCACGGGCCCGACUCCUACGGGAGGCAGCAGUAAGGAAUAUUGGUCAAUGGACGAAAGUCUGAACCAGCCAUGCCGCGUGGAGGAUGAAGGUCCUCUGGAUUGUAAACUUCUUUUAUCUGGGACGAAAAAAGGUCUUUCUAGACCGUCUGACGGUACCAGAUGAAUAAGCACCGGCUAACUCCGUGCCAGCAGCCGCGGUAAUACGGAGGGUGCAAGCGUUAUCCGGAUUCACUGGGUUUAAAGGGUGCGUAGGUGGGUUGGUAAGUCAGUGGUGAAAUCUUCGAGCUUAACUCGGAAACUGCCAUUGAUACUAUCAGUCUUGAAUAUUGUGGAGGUUAGCGGAAUAUGUCAUGUAGCGGUGAAAUGCUUAGAUAUGACAUAGAACACCAAUUGCGAAGGCAGCUGGCUACACAUAUAUUGACACUGAGGCACGAAAGCGUGGGGAUCAAACAGGAUUAGAUACCCUGGUAGUCCACGCCCUAAACUAUGGAUACUCGACAUACGCGAUACACUGUGUGUGUCUG